GUGGGGAAUAUUGGGCAAUGGAGGCAACUCUGACCCAGCAACGCCGCGUGAACGAUGAAGGUCUUCGGAUUGUAAAGUUCUUUAAGUGGGGACGAAGAAAGUGACUGUACCCACAGAAUAAGCCUCGGCUAACUACGUGCCAGCAGCCGCGGUAAUACGUAGGAGGCAAGCGUUAUCCGGAAUGACUGGGCGUAAAGGGUGCGUAGGUGGUUUGGCAAGUUGGUAGCGUAAUCCCGGGGCUCAACCUCGGUGCUACUACCAAAACUGCUGGGCUUGAGUGCAGGAGGGGUGAAUGGAAUUCCUAGUGUAGCGGUGGAAUGCGUAGAUAUUAGGAAGAACACCAGCGGCGAAGGCGAUUCACUGGACUGUAACUGACACUGAGGCACGAAAGCGUGGGGAGCAAACAGG
rnacentral:rRNA from 1 species